CUCUUGACAUCCAGAGAACUUGGCAGAGAUGCCUUGGUGCCUUCGGGAACUCUGAGACAGGUGCCGCAUGGCUGUCGUCAGCUCGUGUUGUGAAAUGUUGGGUUAAGUCCGCAACGAGCGCAACCCCUAUCCUUUGUUGCCAGCGAUUCGGUCGGGAACUCAAAGGAGACUGCCGGUGAUAAACCGGAGGAAGGUGGGGAUGACGUCAAGUCAUCAUGGCCCUUACGAGUAGGGCUACACACGUGCUACAAUGGCGCAUACAAAGAGAAGCGACCUCGCGAGAGCAAGCGGACCUCAUAAAGUGCGUCGUAGUCCGGAUCGGAGUCUGCAACUCGACUCCGUGAAGUCGGAAUCGCUAGUAAUCGUAGAUCAGAAUGCUACGGUGAAUACGUUCCCGGGCCUUGUACACACCGCCCGUCACACCAUGGGAGUGGGUUGCAAAAGAAGUAGAUAGCUUAACCUUCGGGAGGGCGUUUACCACUUUGUGAUUCAUGACUGGGGUGAAGUCGUAACAAGGUAAGCGUACGUGU
rnacentral:rRNA from 1 species